GACGAACGCUGGCGGCGUGCUUAACACAUGCAAGUCGAACGAGACGAUUGAAAGCUUGUUUUUGAAAGUCGAGUGGCAAGCGGGUGAGUAACGCGUAGACGACCUGCCUUUGAGAUGGGGACAACAGUUCGAAAGGACUGCUAAUACCGAAUGUUGUAUAUUUUCCACAUGGAAGAUAUAUUAAAGAUGGCCUCUAUUUAUAAGCUAUCGCCCAAAGAUGGGUCUGCGUCGGUUUAGCGGGUUGGUGGGGUAACGGCCUACCAAGGCGACGAUCAGGAGCCGGUCUGAGAGGAUGAACGGGCACAUUGGGACUGAGACACGGCCCAGACUCCUGCGGGAGGCAGCAGUGGGGAAUCAUCCACAAUGGACGAAAGUCUGAUGGAGCAACGCCGCGUGAGUGAAGAAGGGUUUCGGCUCGUAAAGCUAUGUUGUCGGGGACGAAUGUUCAGUAUUUGAAUAAAGUACUGCAAUGACGGUACCUGACGAGGAAGCCACGGCUAACUACGUGCCAGCAGCCGCCGUAA
rnacentral:rRNA from 1 species